GUGACUGCGUACCUUUUGUAUAAUGGGUCAGCGACUUAUAUUCUGUAGCAAGGUUAACCGUAUAGGGGAGCCGGAGGGAAACCGAGUCUUAACCGGGCGUUAAGUUGCAGGGUAUAGACCCGAAACCCGGUGAUCUAGCCAUGGGCAGGUUGAAGGUUGGGUAACACUAACUGGAGGACCGAACCGACUAAUGUUGAAAAAUUAG
rnacentral:rRNA from 1 species